rnacentral:rRNA from 1 species
CCUACGGGAGGCAGCAGUGAGGAAUAUUGGUCAAUGGGCGCGAGCCUGAACCAGCCAAGUAGCGUGAAGGAUGACUGCCCUACGGGUUGUAAACUCCUUUUAUAAAGGAAUAAAGUGAGGCACGUGUGCCCUUUUGUAUGUACUUUAUGAAUAAGGAUCGGCUAACUCCGUGCCAGCAGCCGCGGGAAUACGGAGGAUCCGAGCGUUAUCCGGAUUUAUUGGGUUUAAAGGGAGCGUAGAUGGGUUGUUAAGUCAGUUGUGAAAGUUUGCGGCUCAACCGUAAAAUUGCAAUUGAUACUGGCAGCCUUGAGUACAGUAGAGGUAGGCAGAAUUCGUGGUGUAGCGGUGAAAUGCGUAGAGAUCACGAAGAACUCCGAUUGCGAAGGCAGCCUACUAAACUGCCACUGACAUUGAUGCGCGAAAGUGUGGGGAUCAAACAGGAUUAGAUACCCCGGUAGUC